rnacentral:rRNA from 1 species
AUGAACGCUGGCGGCGUGCCUAAUACAUGCAAGUCGAACGAGGUGCCUAAGUAGCAAUACGAAGGUAUCCUAGUGGCGAACGGGUGAGUAACGCGUUGGUGACCUGCCCCAAAGUGUGGAAUAACAGUUCGAAAGGAUUGCUAAUACCGCAUGUGGUCAUUGGAUUUAGAAACCGAUGACUAAAGCCGCAAGGCGCUUUGGGAGGGGCCUGCGUCCCAUCAGCUAGUUGGUGAGGUAACGGCUUACCAAGGCUACGACGGGUAGGGGACCUGAGAGGGUGGCCCCCCACAAUGGAACUGAAACACGGUCCAUACACCUACGGGUGGCAGCAGUAGGGAAUAUUGCUCAAUGGGCGAAAGCCUGAAGCAGCAACGCCGCGUGCGCGAUGAAGGUCUUCGGAUCGUAAAGCGCUUUUCUGAGAGAUGAGAAAGGACAGUAUCUCAGGAAUAAGUCUCGGCUAACUACGU